rnacentral:lncRNA from 1 species
ACAAGGCUCUCUCUUGGGCUACCUUACAACGUGACCCUUUAUUUUGGAAUUAGGUCAACCUCACCAUUUCAAAAUAAUAAGCAAACCCUUGAUCCAACGUCAAAUGGCUUUUUAUUAUCAAUAAAAACUCAAAAAAUAAAAAAAACCACGAUUAGGAUUGUGCACACCAUGUAGUAGUGCAAUUCCAAUCAGCCACAUUUUUAUAAAAAAAUUAAAAACAACAUCAACUCAUCAAACUCUUUUUUGCGCCUUAUGGCAUCAUUU